CUUUCUUUUGUCUGGCGACCGGCGCACGGGUGAGUAACACGUAUCCAACCUGCCCUUUACUCGGGGAUAGCCUUUCGAAAGAAAGAUUAAUACCCGAUAGCAUAAUGAUUCCGCAUGGUUUCAUUAUUAAAGGAUUCCGGUAAAGGAUGGGGAUGCGUUCCAUUAGGUUGUUGGUGGGGUAACGGCCCACCAAGCCUUCGAUGGAUAGGGGUUCUGAGAGGAAGGUCCCCCACAUUGGAACUGAGACACGGUCCAA
rnacentral:rRNA from 1 species